rnacentral:rRNA from 1 species
UACGUAGGUGGCAAGCGUUGUCCGGAUUUACUGGGCGUAAAGAGCGCGCAGGCGGUCGUUCAAGUCGCGUGUGAAAGCCCCCGGCUCAACUGGGGAGGGUCACGCGAUACUGAUCGACUGGAAGGCAGGAGAGGGUAGUGGAAUUCCCGGUGUAGUGGUGAAAUGCGCAGAUAUCGGGAAGAACACCCGUGGCGAAGGCGGCUUUCUGGCCCGUUCUUGACGCUGAGGCGCGAAAGCUAGGGUAGCAAACGGG